AUCUAUAUAGUAUAUAAGUAUAUUUGACUUCCAAUCAUAAGGACUACAACAAUAGUAGUAUAGAUA
rnacentral:tRNA from 1 species